CCUACGGGCGGCAGCAGUGGGGAAUAUUGGACAAUGGGGGCAACCCUGAUCCAGCCAUGCCGCGUGUGUGAAGAAGGCCCUCGGGUUGUAAAACACUUUCAGUGAGGAAGAACGCCUGGUGGUUAAUACCCAUCAGGAAAGACAUCACUCACAGAAGAAGCACCGGCUAACUCCGUGCCAGCAGCCGCGGUAAUACGGAGGGUGCGAGCGUUAAUCGGAAUUACUGGGCGUAAAGCGCGCGUAGGUGGCUUGAUAAGCCGGUUGUGAAAGCCCCGGGCUCAACCUGGGAACGGCAUCCGGAACUGUCAAGCUAGAGUGCAGGAGAGGAAGGUAGAAUUCCCGGUGUAGCGGUGAAAUGCGUAGAGAUCGGGAGGAAUACCAGUGGCGAAGGCGGCCUUCUGGACUGACACUGACACUGAGGUGCGAAAGCGUGGGUAGCAAACAGGAUUAGAUACCCGAGUAGUC
rnacentral:rRNA from 1 species